GUGGUGGCUAUGGCGGGGAGGAAAUACCUGUUCCCAUCUCGAACACAGUAGUCAAGCUCCCCCGCGCCGAUGAUACUCGGCGGGCGACCGCCCGGAAAAGCAGGUCGCUGCCACAC
rnacentral:rRNA from 1 species